rnacentral:rRNA from 1 species
AACGUAGGGGGCCAGCGUUGCUCGGAAUUACUGGGCGUAAAGGGUCCGUAGGCGGUGUGGCAAGUCGGAAGUGAAAUCUCUGGGCUUAACCCAGAGGCUGCUCCCGAAACUGCCAUGCUAGAGUGUGAGAGAGGCGAGUGGAAUUGCGGGUGUAGCGGUGAAAUGCGUAGAUAUCCGCAGGAACAUCCGAGGCGAAGGCGGCUCGCUGGAUCACAACUGACGCUGAGGGACGAAAGCUAGGGGAGCAAACAGG